UACGGGGGGCGCAAGCGUUGCUCGGAAUCACUGGGCGUAAAGCGUCCGCAGGCGGCUUGGUAAGUCGGGUGUGAAAGCCCGGAGCUCAACUCCGGAACUGCAUUCGAAACUGCCUGGCUCGAGUACGGGAGAGGAUGGCGGAAUUCCUGGUGUAGAGGUGAAAUUCGUAGAUAUCAGGAGGAACACCGGUGGCGAAAGCGGCCAUCUGGCCCGAUACUGACGCUCAUGGACGAAAGCGUGGGGAGCAAACAGG
rnacentral:rRNA from 1 species